rnacentral:rRNA from 1 species
UACAGAGGGGGCAAGCGUUGUUCGGAAUUACUGGGCGUAAAGGGCGCGUAGGCGGCCUGUUAAGUCGGACGUGAAAUCCCUCGGCUCAACCGGGGAACUGCGUCCGAUACUGGCGGGCUUGAAUUCGGGAGAGGGAUGUGGAGUUCCAGGUGUAGCGGUGAAAUGCGUAGAUAUCUGGAGGAACACCGGUGGCGAAGGCGGUUACCUGGACAGUUACUGACGCUCAGGCACGAAAGCAUGGGGAGCAAAAGGG